rnacentral:rRNA from 1 species
AUUGAACGCUGGCGGCAUGCCUUACACAUGCAAGUCGAAUGGCAGCACGGGUGCUUGCACCUGGUGGCGAGUGGCGAACGGGUGAGUAAUACAUCGGAACGUACCUUAUCGUGGGGGAUAACGCAGCGAAAGCUGUGCUGAUACCGCAUAAGCCCUGAGGGGGAAAGCGGGGGAUCGAAAGACCUCGCGCGAUUAGAGCGGCCGAUGCCUGAUUAGCUUGUUGGUGGGGUAAAAGCCCACCAAGGCGACGAUCGGUAGCUGGUCUGAGAGGACGAUCAGCCACACUGGGACUGAGACACGGCCCAGACUCCUACGGGAGGCAGCAGUGGGGAAUUUUGGACAAUGGGGGCAACCCUGAUCCAGCAAUGCCGCGUGAGUGAAGAAGGCCUUCGGGUUGUAAAGCUCUUUUGUCAGGGAAGAAACACCGGCUCUAACACAGUCCGGGAAUGACGGUACCUGAAGAAUAAGCACCGGCUAACUACGUGCCAGCAGCCGCGGUAA